UACGAAGGGGGCUAGCGUUGUUCGGAAUUACUGGGCGUAAAGCGCGCGUAGGCGGCUGAUCCAUGUCAGGGGUGAAAUCCCGGGGCUCAACUCCGGAAUUGCCUUUGAACGGGAAUUGCUAGAGUCCGAGAGAGGAUGGCGGAAUUCCUAGUGUAGAGGUGAAAUUCGUAGAUAUUAGGAAGAACACCGGUGGCGAAGGCGGCCAUCUGGCUCGGUACUGACGCUC
rnacentral:rRNA from 1 species